AUAGCGUAUAUUAAAGUUGUUGCAGUUAAAAAGCUCGUAGUUGGAUCUCAGGAGUUGAGAGAAUGGUUCGCCUUUUCAGGUGUUACUGUUCUUUCUUCCUAUCUAGUCGGAGUCCGUCUUGGUGCUCUUCACUGAGCGCCUUGAUAGCCCGACAUGUUUACUUUGAACAAAUUAGAGUGCUUAAAGCAAGCCUUGCGCUUGUAUAGUCUUGCAUGGAAUAAUGGAAUAGGACUUUAGUUCUAUUUUGUUGGUUUACGGAAUCUAAAGUAAUGAUUAAAAGGGACAGGCGGGGGCAUUCGUAUUGUGGCGGGAGAGGUGAAAUUCGGAGAUCGCCGCAAGACGACCUACUG
rnacentral:rRNA from 1 species